rnacentral:tRNA from 1 species
GGCGAGAUGGCCGAGCGGUCUAAGGCGCUACGUUAAGGAAUUCCCUUAAUAACAUCAUGAUUCAUGAUCCCGUAGUCCGAAAGGGCGUGGGUUCGAAUCCCACUCUCGUCA